ensembl:lncRNA
AAGUACAUGAGAAGGGAAGGAAACGGCCACGCACAACUGUUGGGGCCUGAGGUGUCCUUUUCUCGGCGCUUGGCAUCCUGCUCCGGCCGUGGGGCUGGGGUAGCCAGAAGAAGAGUUAGCGUUGGUGUUCGAAGCCAAGUCAGAACAGGACAUCGACUUUUCCACUGGGGACAGUAAGAGCUAGGUAACAGAAUCCUCAAGUGAGUGAAAAUCCUUCCCACCAGUAUUUGCGCUUUCACUAUCUGCACUGGCCAGUAUGGUAGCCCCUACCCACAGGAAUCUUUUCACUGACCCCGGAAUGAAGUGGAAAUUUCUCAGCCUUGUAUUCAUGGCCCUCCACCAUCUGACCCAACCUGAAUUUCCAGCCUUCAGCACCUACACUGUAUUACACAACCCCAAUCCAAUGUCCUGUUAUACCAGUUCUGCGUUUAUGCUCUGCCCACUGGGGGAACCCUCCACAGUCCUCCUCCUUGCUCCAAAAGUACACUUUAAAAAAAUACUAAUGAACCUGUUUGCAGGACAGAAAUAGAGACACAGACGUAGAGGACUGAUUUGUGGACACAGUUGGGGAAGGAGAGGGUGCGAUGAAUUAAGAGAGUAACAUUGACAUAUUGACACUGCCAUGUGUAAAACAGAUAGCCAGUGGGAAGCUGCUGUAUAUCACAGGAGCUCAACUCAGUGUUCUGUGAUGACCUACCGGUGGGACGGGGUGUGCAUGGGAGGGGGGCUCACAAGGGAGGGGAUAUACCCAUACAUAAAGCUGAUUUACAUUGUUGUGCAGGGAAAGUCCCUUUCCUAUGUUUUCCUUGAAGAAACAUGGGAAAUCCCAAGAGAUUUAGUUGAUUUCCUCUCCCUGGAAUCCUUUACCAGGUUCUUCUAUACUUUUUUUUUUCCUGCAGACUGGGAGUUAGAGCUACAAUGGAUGCUAGAGUUUUAAUUUGAUUUGAAGUUGACUGUUGGCAAGAAUACUUCAUAGAUGGUGAUCUGUCUUUUCUCUUGAAUCAGGUCUCCUCAUCUUUCUUGUAGUAUCUGGACAGAUCCAUGAGUCCACCGAUUGUCAGCCUGAUCCAGCCUUCUCAAGUUCCCUGCCAGUGUUUCUCCUGAUGGUUUUAGCAGUCACUGAUGCUAGCCUAGACCCAUUCUUUUAUUAAGUUUUGCAAAAUUGUGAUACUAUAAUUCUGUUAAUCCUUCUGCAUUUAUUAGCUUCAAAUUCUUGUGUAAAGAAAAACUAUUUGUUUGCCCAGAGGUACAUUUCCUACAGGGAAGAGAAUAAACACUUGGUUCAUUCCCUUUAUUUAGCGGUUUUCAGAAUAAUGAAUUUGGUUCCCAAGCAGCCUCUAAAGGUUACAGAUGAGUUUGUUGGUCUUUUUUAACCCUACUAUGAAUUCUUCAAUGCCUAGCUCCAAAGUAAUUUCCCCUAGUUUUUUACCCUAACUCAAAAGAAAUUUCUCCCUUCUGAAUGUAAGCACAUCUUUUCUAACGGUAUCCAGGGCUUUCUACCACUUUCUCUUUAUCUUCCACUGGAUUAGAAGCUCCUGCACUUAACAUAAUGCCUCAGGCAGUGUUUCUCAAGCUUCGUGGUGCUUUCAUUUGAAUUUUAUGGGGAGCUGCAGUGGGGAGGGGGAGCAGAGUCUUGGUUAAAAUGCAUAUUCUGAUUCACUGGCUCUGGGAUGGGCUGAGAUUCUGCUUCCUCACAAGCACCAAGUGGUGCCAAUGCGGCUGGUCCAAGGAGCACACUUUGAGUAGCAAAACCGUAUGGUGAAUGUAUGGGAAAUUUCACUCACUCAGUAAGAAGUGCUCACUCAGACUAGUUCAUGGGCUAGGCCCUAAUACAUUAAAAUGCAGAAGGUUUUUUUGGUGGGUUUAAUUUGUUUUAUUAGAGUUUUUUUUUAAUUUAUCUUUUUGAAUAUAUAAUAGUACAUAUGGUAAGAAAAAAAUUAUUUUUCAUAAAAUCCAAAAGGGUACACAGUGAAAGUACAUCAGCCCUCCCUCAAAGAUGAUCACUGUUACUUCUUGAAUUUUAUUCUAAAAGUACUUUAUGCAUGCAUGCAUGCUGAGUCAUUUCAGUUGUGUCCGACUCUGUGAGACCCUAUGGGCUGCAGCCUGCCGGGCUCCUCCGUCCAUGAGAUUUUCAAGGCAAGAGUACUAGAGUGGGGUGCCAUUGCCUUCUCCGCCUAGACUCAUAAAUUGUUUCUUAACUCUGUAACCCCUCAGCACUCACAGAUUACUCUUGUGUUAAUAAAAUAUUCAGUUGUCCAAAAAGGUCGUUCGGGUUUUUCCAUGCCAUCCUCGGGAAAUCCUGAACGAACUUUUCGGUCAACUCAAAUGUUAUUAUGCAAUACUGAAUACAUAAAUGUGUAUUAUUGGUGGGGUUCAGUACGCACUAUCCCCAAAUACUCUGCCUUAGCAUAUUGAAUAUUUCAAGCUGAAGGAAUCCAAGAAAAUAGAUGCAGGAAGGACUCUCUGACCUUCCCUAGAAGCAGGUCACAAGACCCUCAUGUGUGAAGCGCCCUCCCUCCACCCAAGGGAAGAGAUCAUGCUUGCCUGCAAGAUGGAGGGACCCCCAAGAGGAAUAUUAUUGAACACACCUAAGUUUCCCCAGUUGACUGAGCCCAUAUCCCAUUUGUCCUAUCCCAUUUCACCAUGACUGACCACUCUUCAUCAAACCUAGCACAAAAACAGACAAGCCUGACUGCUUCUUCAGGCUUCAUUUAUUUGUGAAGGCUCCCAUGUCACAUAAAACUUAUACUAAAUACAUUUGUAUGCUUUUCUUUUGUUAACAUGUCUUUUGUUUCAGAGACCCAGUCAAGAACCUGGAAGAGCAGAAGGAAAAGGUUUAUUUUUCCUCCCCUCCAAUAUAUUUAAGGAAAAAAUAAAAACGUUAAUAAUAGAAGCCUCUGUCACUUCCUACUGCCUCCAAGUAUCCCCUCCCUGUCGCAUGAUGGUCUCUCUACCUACGAGGUAACUACCAUCCUGAAUUUUGCAUUAAUCAUUCUCCAGUUUUCCUUUCUCAGUGGUUCUCAAGCCGUUAGAAUCACCGAAAGAGCUUGUUAAAACAUGAAUUUCUGGGUUCCACUCCCCAAGUUCUGAUACAGUAGAUCUGGGGCGAGGCCCAAGAAUUUGUGCCUCUUGUAAAUUCUCAUGUGGUGCCGAUGCUGCUGAUCCCAGACCUACACUUUGAGAACUGCUUUAUCUCAAAGACACUCCUGC